AAAAAAAAAAAAAAAAAGAGAAGGUGUUUGUGGUAGAGAGUGUUCUCACGGCUACUGCCUCAGAGAACCGUGAGCCCGUGUGUAAGCCCUGGCUUUCCCUUCAAAGGUGGCGGCCCGCUCCCUCUCCCCACCCCCAGAGCUGGAAGAAAGGGAUGCGGCCGCACACUCAGCCUCCUUGGAGGAUGUGAAGACAGCUGUCCUGGGUCUUCUGGUCAUCCUUCAGACCAAGCUGUACACCCUGCCUGCAAGCCACGCCACGCGCGUGUAUGAGAUGCUGGUCAGCCACAUUCAGCUCCACUACAAGCACAGCUACACCCUGCCAAUUGCGAGCAGCAUCCGGCUGCAGGCCUUUGACUUCCUGUUGCUGCUGCGGGCCGACUCACUGCACCGCCUCGGCCUGCCCAACAAGGAUGGAGUCGUGCGGUUCAGCCCCUACUGCGUCUGCGACUACAUGGAGCCAGAGAGAGGCUCUGAGAAGAAGACCAGCGGCCCCCUUUCUCCUCCCUCAGGGCCGCCUGGCCCGGCGCCUGCAGGUCCCGCCGUGCGGCUGGGUUCCCUGCCCUACUC
rnacentral:sRNA from 1 species